UACGUAGGGUGCAAGCGUUGUCCGGAAUUAUUGGGCGUAAAGAGCUCGUAGGCGGUCUGUCGCGUCUGCUGUGAAAACUCGGGGCUUAACCCCGGGCCUGCAGUGGGUACGGGCAGACUAGAGUGCGGUAGGGGAGACUGGAAUUCCUGGUGUAGCGGUGAAAUGCGCAGAUAUCAGGAGGAACACCGGUGGCGAAGGCGGCCCACUGGAUCGGUAUUGACGCUGAGGUGCGAAAGCGUGGGGAGCAAACAGG
rnacentral:rRNA from 1 species